rnacentral:rRNA from 1 species
GACGAACCGUGCGAACGUUAUUCGGAAUCACUGGGCUUAAAGCGCGUGUAGGCGGGUGGGAACGUCGGCCGCUGAAAUCCCCCGGCUCAACCGGGGAAGGGGCGCCGAAACGGCCCGCCUGGAGGGACGUAGGGGGAGCUGGAACUUCCGGUGGAGCGGUGAAAUGCGUUGAGAUCGGAAGGAACGCCCGUGGCGAAAGCGAGCUCUGGACGUUUUCUGACGCUGAGACGCGAAAGCCAGGGGAGCGAACGGG